rnacentral:rRNA from 1 species
UACGUAGGGAGCUAGCGUUGUCCGGAAUCAUUGGGCGUAAAGCGCGCGUAGGCGGCCCGGUAAGUCCGCUGUGAAAGUCAAAGGCUCAACCUUUGAAUGUCAGUGGAUACUGCCGGGCUAGAGUCCGGAAGAGGCGAGUGGAACUCCUGGUGUAGCGGUGGAAUGCGCAGAUAUCAGGAAGAACACCGACGGCGAAGGCAGCUCGCUGGGACGGUACUGACGCUGAGACGCGAAAGCGUGGGGAGCGAACAGG